rnacentral:miRNA from 1 species
CAACGAUUCAGGUGCUUUUCUU